rnacentral:rRNA from 2 species
CCGGUUGAUCCUGCCGGACCCGACCGCUAUCGGGGUAGGGCUAAGCCAUGCGAGUCGCGCGCCCGGGGGCGCCCGGGAGCGGCGCACGGCUCAGUAACACGUGCCUAACCUAACCUCGGGAGGGGGACACCCCCGGGAAACUGGGGUCAAUCCCCCAUAGGGGAAGGGCGCUGGAAGGCCCCUUCCCCGAAAGGGCUGGCGGCCGAUCCGCCGCCAGUCGCCCGAGGGUGGGGGCACGGCCCAUCAGGUAGUUGGCGGGUUAAAGGCCCGCCAAGCCGAAGACGGGUAGGGGCGGUGAGAGCCGCGAGCCCCGAGAUGGGCACUGAGACAAGGGCCCAGGCCCUACGGGGUGCAGCAGGCGCGAAUACUCCGCAAUGCGGGCAACCGCGACGGGGCUACCCCGAGUGCCGGGCGAAGAGCCCGGCUUUUGCCCGGUCUAAAAAGCCGGGAGAAUAAGCGGGGGGCAAGUCUGGUGUCAGCCGCCGCGGUAAUACCAGCUCCGCGAGUGGUCGGGGUGUUUACUGGGCUUAAAGCGCCCGUAGCCGGCCCGGCAAGUCGCUCCUGAAAUCCCCGGGCUCAACCCGGGGGCCGGGGGCGAUACUGCCGGGCUAGGGGGCGGGAGAGGCCGCCGGUACUCCGGGGGUAGGGGCGAAAUCCGUUAAUCCCCGGAGGACCACCAGUGGCGAAAGCGGGCGGCCAGAACGCGCCCGACGGUGAGGGGCGAAAGCCGGGGGAGCAAAGGGGAUUAGAUACCCCUGUAGUCCCGGCCGUAAACGAUGCGGGCUAGCUGUCGGUCGGGCUUAGGGCCCGGCCGGUGGCGAAGGGAAACCGUUAAGCCCGCCGCCUGGGGAGUACGGCCGCAAGGCUGAAACUUAAAGGAAUUGGCGGGGGGGCACCACAAGGGGUGAAGCUUGCGGCUUAAUUGGAGUCAACGCCGGAAACCUCACCCGGGGCGACAGCAGGAUGAAGGCCAGGCUAACGACCUUGCCGGACGAGCUGAGAGGAGGUGCAUGGCCGUCGUCAGCUCGUGCCGUGAGGUGUCCGGUUAAGUCCGGCAACGAGCGAGACCCCCGCCCCUAGUUGCUACCCCUCCCUACGGGGAGGGGGGCACACUAGGGGGACUGCCGGCGUAAGCCGGAGGAAGGAGGGGGCCACGGCAGGUCAGUAUGCCCCGAAACCCCGGGGCUGCACGCGAGCUGCAAUGGCGGGGACAGCGGGAUCCGACCCCGAAAGGGGGAGGCAAUCCCGUAAACCCCGCCCCAGUAGGGAUCGAGGGCUGCAACUCGCCCUCGUGAACGUGGAAUCCCUAGUAACCGCGUGUCACCAACGCGCGGUGAAUACGUCCCUGCCCCUUGCACACACCGCCCGUCGCACCACCCGAGGGAGCCCUCUGCGAGGCCCCUCGCCGCAAGGUGGGGGGACGAGCAGGGGGCUCCCAAGGGGGGUGAAGUCGUAACAAGGUAGCCGUAGGGGAACCUGCGGCUGGAUCACCUCC